UACGAAGGGGGCUAGCGUUGCUCGGAAUCACUGGGCGUAAAGCGCACGUAGGCGGAUUGCUAAGUCAGGGGUGAAAUCCUGGAGCUCAACUCCAGAACUGCCUUUGAUACUGGCGAUCUCGAGUCCGGGAGAGGUGGGUGGAACUGCGAGUGUAGAGGUGAAAUUCGUAGAUAUUCGCAAGAACACCAGUGGCGAAGGCGGCUCACUGGCCCGGUACUGACGCUGAGGUGCGAAAGCGUGGGGAGCAAACAGG
rnacentral:rRNA from 1 species